AUUGAACGCUAGCGGGAUGCUUUACACAUGCAAGUCGAACGAGUGGCGGACGGGUGAAUAAUAUAUCGGAACGUACCCAGUAGCGGGGGAUAACUACUAGAAAGAGUGGCUAAUACAGCAUACUAUUCGAGCGGCGCAUAUCGGAUUAUCUAGAUGGUGGGGCAAAGGCGCACCAAGGCAACGAUCCGUAGCUGGUUUGAGAGGACGACCAGCCACACUGGGACUGCGACACGGCCCAGACUCCUGCGGGAGGCAGCAGUGGGGAAUUGGGGACAAUGGGGUCAACCCUGAUCCAGCCAUCACGCGUUUAUGAUAAGGCCUUCGGGUUGUAAAGUACUUUUGUCAGAGAAGCGGUAUCUGCAGAAUAAGCACCGGCUAACUACGUGCCAGCAGCCGCGGUAAUUC
rnacentral:rRNA from 1 species